CUGGAUUGCAAUUUGAACUCAUCAGUAACUCCCUGGCUGCCCCUGGGCACAAGCCUUCCCUUCUCUGAACCUUAGUUUCCCCUUCUAUCCAGUGAGAAGAUUGGUCAAGAUAAUCUCUAAGCUUUGUUCCAGAUCUGAUAGACUAAGAAGCCACUUCCUUUGCUUCCACUUCCUUUGGCAGCACAGUGUUGCAACAUCUGUACUUGGAUCCCCUUCCUUUGACAAGAAUCUUGCAACAUGCCACCCUGUAUUAGUUUCCUUGGAAAGCACAAUUUUGCAAAAGGCCUCCCUGAAUCCCAUUUUUCAAAUGCUGAUAGAAUGACACAUACCUCCUCUCCACUUAGUGGCUUAGCUUGCGUUUUAACUUUUCCUUUCACACCCAUCAUACAUACUGUUCUGUGACUCCCCGAAAGAGGGAUUCUCUCUACAUUCUGAAAUUUGUUGUCCCUAUCCUGGUAUUGAGAAGUCACCUUCCUGAUACAAAAAGAAGGAACAAGUUGGGAGACCACAGUGACUCAACGACAGUAAGUUCCUGGGAUCACCUGAAUCAGAACCAGCUGUUAAAAGGGCAGAUUUGUCUCAAAAAAAAAAAAAAGCAGCUUCUAGGUCAGUGGUCACAACUUUGCAUCUCAAAAUCACCUGGGGGAGCUUUAUCAAUACCCAUGCCCAGGCCACACCCCCGGAGAUUCUGGUUUAAUUAAUCUGGGGUGGGGCCUGGAGGGUCCGCGUGUUUAGAAAGAUCCCCAGGUGAUUUAAAUGUGCAGUCAGGAUUGCAGGUGAUUUAAAUGUGCAGUCAGGAUUGCGAACCCCUGGUCAAAGGACACUAAAGUUAACAAACCCAUGGUCUAUAAUAUUCUCUAUGAAAUUAUCCUAAUGGAUGCCCUUUUGUGCACACAGCUGUGCUCAGUGUUAUAAAUGGGUGAAGAGAAUUUACUCCCUUUUACAGAUGAGGAAGGUGAGGGAUGGCGAGAGGAAGUACUGAUGAGGCCAUAUGGUGAGUCAGUAAUAGUGGCUGGCCUGGCACCAAGCAGAUGCCUGUGGCCUCAAAGUUUGAGGCCUGUCCAUUUACUCACAGUCUGAAAAAGGGUGCUGCCAGCUCUUCAGACAGCUGUUUGCAACCAGGGUUACCCCAUGUGCAUCAGUAAAAUAAGGAGGGAUAUUUGUGGAUUUAACACCUGCCUCUAUCACUAACAAGUCAAAUCCCCUUUCUCAAGACGUAUUUCUCACUGUCCCCAGAUCUCUUCCUGAAGUGCCAGUUUGAUCAGAACAUUUUUGGCCACAAAAGUAUUUUGUUAAUGUUAGUGGAAAGACUCCUAUGCGCCCCCCCCCCCCAUUGCUUAUAGAAUGGAGGCGACAUUCUUUUCUUUUUUCUUUUUUUUUUUUUGAGACGGAGUCUUGCUCUGUCACCCAGGCUGGAGUGCAGUGGCACGAUCUUGGCUCACUGCAAACUCCACCUCCCGGGUUCACGCCAUUCUCCUGCCUCAGCCUCCCGAGUAGCUGGGACUACAGGUGCCCGCCACCGCACCCGGCUAAUUUUUUGUAUUUUUUAGUAGAGAUGGGGUUUCACCGUGUUAGCCAGGAUGGUCUCGAUCUCCUGACCUUGUGAUCUGCCUGCCUCGGACUCCCAAAGUGCUGGGAUUACAGGCAUGACUCACUGUGCCCGGCCAGAGGCGACAUUCUUUAGCCCAGUGUUCAAGGCUCCCGAGGUCUGUCUGCCCAGUCUCAGCUCUCUUUACAUGUGUAUCCCCAGUCCUCUACUCUCCCCAACGUCGGGGACACUGUACACAUCACCCCCCUCGAUGGGGUUCUAGCAUUUCAUUCUAUGACCCACUUCCUUCUCCUUCUCUUCUUCCCUCCACAAGCAUUCAUGGAUUGCCUGCUGUUUGCUAGGCACUGGUGAAAUUGUGACAAUCAAAGAAGAAAUAGUCCCUGACCACAUGGGGCUUAUACUCCAAAACGAGUUUUCUCUAUGGACAUGUUGAGAACACUGUUGAUGUGUUGGGUUGGGUCAUUUUUUGUUAUGGGGAUCUGUCCUGUGCAUGGUAGGCUGCUUGGCAGCAUCCCUGCCUUCUGUCCAAUAAAUGUCAGUAGUAUACUCCCUCCUCAGUUGUGACAAUGAAAAAUGUCUUCAGAUAUUGCCAGUUGCCCUGUGGGGGCCAAAAUCAUCCCUGGCUGAAAACCAUUUUUCUCAUCAGAUGCUAAAUUAACUGCACCAAUAAUCAUUUUAUUACA
rnacentral:lncRNA from 1 species